ensembl:lncRNA
GUUGGAACAAUGGGAGACAUAGGGUGCGUUCAUAAAUUCACUCUGGCUAUCUACUCCGAUUUCAGAGCACUCUCGCCAGACCACAGUAUAACUGCUGAAUUUACGAAUGCUCACCAGUUGAAUAUGGCCGGUGUCAGUAAACGUUGGCAAAAUGCGUAAUUAUAUUGUUGCCAAUAGCACAGUUACAGUCACCAACGCUCUGGAUAACACGAAAACAGCCUAAUCAGCUCUACUUGGCAGGGAGACAUGCAGUACCAGCAAAUCUUCUGCAAGAGAACCAAACAGUUGGUGGUUAUGAAGCCCUACACCACUUUCGGCAGUCUUAUCCAGCUGGCUGUUCAUCUCAGUACGGACAGAGAUUAUCACACUACUGUCAAUGGGCUGGAAUAAGAGGAAGUUCACCAACAUGGAUCGCAUGUAACACUCGUCUGAAGAAGUGGACCAUAAUCAUAUUCUUUAAUGAUAACCACAAAAAGAAGAGAGAGAGAACCAACGAAACGUACAGCCUUGAAGGGCUCAACAGCAACAAUACAAGGACAAGAUCCUACAACAUAGAAUGUCAAAAGACUGGAGGAGACCAGCCUCGCAAAAAGCGGGAAGAGCUAGACAUCAACACCGCUGUGCUACAGGAGUGGAUUACUGAGGUCCAGCAGUGGCCUGAUGACACACUUCAGGAUCGUCAGACGGGGCAUCUCCAGAAGAAGCUUGAAGGGCUUUACCACAGUGUGAAAGAGGAAACUACUUCUACCAUUUGACAGGUAAGCCCCAACAACAGUAUGACCUCAAACAUAUUAUUAAUCAAGCAGUAAAAGUGAGUUGUGAAAGAGAAUGCAUUAGUCAUACACAUCAGACCAUGUUAAUGAUCAAAUGUAGGUAUGACCUAUGUUAUUAAUUGAUCUAAUGCAAAACAUGUAAUUAAACUGAGAAAUUAUGUGACCAUGAACCUCUUGUGAGCCACACCUCUGCAUGCCUUGUGUAAUGUUAACUACAUGACGACAAAUGCUUUGGAAAUGAGUUGCUUGCUUUGUAUUCUUUGUUUGUGCCUCUAUAGUAGCUCUAACUUAUAGUCAUGUAAUAUAUCUGAAUAUACAGUCCAUCUAAUCACCCUUUUUAUUUUGACGGCAACAAGAGGCGGCAUCUGAUUCUGAGAAAUUGAGGACAAAGCAGCCUUGACAGCUGCCAUUGUUCAACUUCACGAGCAGCAGGCAGAGUUUAGGCUCCCCACAGUGGAUGAGCAGCUCAAUACUGAUAACUUUGUGUGGCCAUGGGAGAGACUUGGCACCAGUAAAUAUAUGAUUGCAGAAAGUAUCUUUUGUUAUUGAAUGUUUACCUUCAGCGUAGGCUGCAAUCAUUGCUGUUCUGUUAUAUACCUCUGGGUUUACAGCUCACAGGCAACUGCCAUCAAAAGGCAAUCUUCAACAGACUGAUGUUAGUGAACAGACUGCAGGAGGAAGAGAGGAUCCUGGUCCGGGAGAUGAAGAGGCACUGGGGGAGCCUACAAAGAGCAGUGGGAACUGUGGCGGCACUGUACCUACAAGAUAAGUUGAGGUAAUGCAGUGGAGUUUUCAGAGGGAGGGAAGAAUGGCCUUCUCUGCCACCCGAAGAGAAGAUUGAGUGAACUGACACAAGACCAAGUUGACACCAGGAAUACCUACCACAAGCUGAUUCUGGGAGAAGGGGAUAUUUUUUUAUGACUGAUGAGAGGGAGAAGGCCGCCAACCACCUCCCUUGGGAGCAGCCUGGUCUCCUGACGUUGACCCCUCACCUUCUGAACCCAUCCAGGGAAAUGUAAUUUGCCUGAUGAUGUGCUAGUGGAGAAGGAAUGUGUCAUGUUUCCUCUCCUCACCACCUCUCUUCCGGUCCUAGACUAUGGCAACAUCAUCUGCAACUCAUACUGUUGGUUGAGGACCUCUUACUGAGGAAUGUGGUUCUUCAUUAUUAUUUAUCUGUAUUUACUACAAGUAUUUUCUAUGCUGCCAUGAUUGGGGUUUUUGUGAGUUGCAAAAGAGUCCUUGAUCUCAAUGGGACUGCUAAAAUAAAUAAAGGUCUUAAC